rnacentral:rRNA from 1 species
AUUGAACGCUGGCGGCAGGCUUAACACAUGCAAGUCGAACGAGUGGCGGACGGGUGAGUAAUGCUUGGGAAUCUAGCUUAUGGAGGGGGAUAACUACGGGAAACUGUAGCUAAUACCGCGUACCAUCGGAUGAGCCCAAGUGGGAUUAGGUAGUUGGUGCGGUAAAGGCUCACCAAGCCGACGAUCUCUAGCUGGUCUGAGAGGAUGACCGGCCACACUGGGACUGAGACACGGCCCAGACUCCUACGGGAGGAAGCAGUGGGGAAUCGUGGGCAAUGGGCGAAAGUUGACCGAGCAACGCCGCGUGAGUGAAGAAGGUUUUCGGAUCGUAAAGUUCUGUCGUUAGAGAAGCGGUAUCUAAAGAGAAAGCCACGGCUAACUCCGUGCCAGCAGCCGCGGUAAUUC